UUUUCGAACUGCUCAAGUCUCCAAUGAUCAAAACCCAACAAAUCCCAAACUCUAACCGCAAAUUUAAACAACGCAUCAUCUCUGGUACUUAAAAUAAAAAUAAAAUGUCUAAAUCAAAUCUACUGAAUGAGAUAUAAACAUGAACUCUUUUUUUUUUUCUUUUCCUUUUUUUUUCUUCUCUUCUUUUUUUUUUUAGAAUCGACCGAUUACUUGCAAAUGUUUUGUGGUAAUCAAUCGAUUCAUAUCUGGAUUUUUUUUUAUUUCAGAACGAAAACUUAUACAAACCGAAAUCGAAUAUAUACAC
rnacentral:lncRNA from 1 species